UGGGGAAUAUUGCACAAUGGGCGGAAGCCUGAUGCAGCAACGCCGCGUGCGGGAUGACGGCCUUCGGGUUGUAAACCGCUUUCGCCUGUGACGAAGCGUGAGUGACGGUAAUGGGUAAAGAAGCACCGGCUAACUACGUGCCAGCAGCCGCGGUGAUACGUAGGGUGCGAGCGUUGUCCGGAUUUAUUGGGCGUAAAGGGCUCGUAGGUGGUUGAUCGCGUCGGAAGUGUAAUCUUGGGGCUUAACCCUGAGCGUGCUUUCGAUACGGGUUGACUUGAGGAAGGUAGGGGAGAAUGGAAUUCCUGGUGGAGCGGUGGAAUGCGCAGAUAUCAGGAGGAACACCAGUGGCGAAGGCGGUUCUCUGGGCCUUUCCUGACGCUGAGGAGCGAAAGCGUGGGGAGCGAACAGGCUUAGAUACCCUGGUAGUCCACGCUGUAAACGGUGGGUACUAGGUGUGGGGUCCAUUCCACGGGUUCCGUGCCGUAGCUAACGCUUUAAGUACCCCGCCUGGGGAGUACGCC
rnacentral:rRNA from 1 species